UCUAUAAAUGGAGAUGAUUUAGUACUAUAGGUACUCUCACUAGAAGUGGCCGUUAGAUAUUCAUCUGUCCACAGUGAGACAAACUGUCUAUAAAUGGAGAUGAUUUAGUACUAUAGGUACUCUCUCUAGAAGUGGCCGUUAGAUAUUCAUCUGUCCACAGUGAGACAAACUGUCUAUAAAUGGAGAUGAUUUAGUACUAUAGGUACUCUCUCUAGAAGUGGCCGUUAGAUAUUCAUCUGUCCACAGUUAGACAAACUGUCUAUAAAUGGAGAUGAUUUAGUACUAUAGGUACUCUCUCUAGAAGUGGCCGUUAGAUAUUCAUCUGUCCACAGUUAGACAAACUGUCUAUAAAUGGAGAUGAUUUAGUACUAUAGGUACUCUCUCUAGAAGUGGCCGUUAGAUAUUCAUCUGUCCACAGUUAGACAAACUGUCUAUAAAUGGAGGUGAUUUAGUACUAUAGGUACUCUCUCUAGAAGUGGCCGUUAGAUAUUCAUCUGUCCACAGUUAGACACACUGUCUAUAAAUGGAGAUGAUUUAGUACUAUAGGUACUCUCUCUAGAAGUGGCCGUUAGAUAUUCAUCUGUCCACAGUGAGACAAACUGUCUAUAAAUGGAGAUGAUUUAGUACUAUAGGUACUCUCACUAGAAGUGGCCGUUAGAUAUUCAUCUGUCCACAGUGAGACAAACUGUCUAUAAAUGGAGAUGAUUUAGUACUAUAGGUACUCUCUCUAGAAGUGGCCGUUAGAUAUUCAUCUGUCCACAGUGAGACAAACUGUCUAUAAAUGGAGAUGAUUUAGUACUAUAGGUACUCUCUCUAGAAGUGGCCGUUAGAUAUUCAUCUGUCCACAGUUAGACAAACUGUCUAUAAAUGGAGAUGAUUUAGUACUAUAGGUACUCUCUCUAGAAGUGUCC